GACGUAGGGCGCGAGCGUUGUCCGGAUUUAUUGGGCGUAAAGAGCUCGUAGGCGGCUUGUCGCGUCGUCCGUGAAAACUUGGGGCUCAACCCCAAGCCUGCGGUCGAUACGGGCAGGCUAGAGUUCGGUAGGGGAGACUGGAAUUCCUGGUGUAGCGGUGAAAUGCGCAGAUAUCAGGAGGAACACCGGUGGCGAAGGCGGGUCUCUGGGCCGAUACUGACACUGAGGAGCGAAAGCGUGGGGAGCGAACAGG
rnacentral:rRNA from 1 species